GCUUUGCAACGGCUUUACCAACAGGCUGUUAUUUUUCAAUGUAACUUCACCGCUGGCAUGAGUAAUGCGGUUUUCUUCCAAUGGGAUAUCCAGAUGUAAGCGCCCACUAACAUUACCUCCUACCUGUAACUCCUCCAGUGUUUCCGCUACCGAAUCGUUGAGUGGAGUUUUAGUAAAGUAGUCAUGGACGUCACGCCCUUCACCUGCAACUUCAGCAUCAACAUAGAGUUUUUCUUUCAGAUAGUCCGGAAUAAUAGCGCUGAUAUUGCUACCGGUAACUUUACCCAACAUGGCAUGAGGCGCAUUCAUCCACAGGCCUUCAUUGAGAAAAUCGAGGUCGAUGGCUAAAUUAUCUAACGCGGGCCAAUCUGGCUGGAACUGGAAGGUAGCGUU
rnacentral:ncRNA from 1 species